ACACAGCGCUUGCCAUGGCGAGCCGACUGCUGGCCAUCAUUGGCCUGUCUGAGGCCCAAGACAUUUUGCGGUGGAGUCUGCAGCGGGAUCUCACACACAGUCCCGCAGAUUGAGGGGGUGCAUGGUGAGAAGUAAGACGGCAGUUCAAGAAAAGUCUUAUGGCUAUCCUUGUAUUUACCCUGCGCGACACGUCUCUGGGCAUUGGACGGCUUUGUGGGACCUUUGGAGAAAAUUCUCCAUGAAUUGGAAAUGAUGCAGAAGCAACUGGCCAUGCUGGAAUCGAACAAGAACUCGCGUAAGACGGUCACCAGCAAAUAAGAACGGCCAAUGUGACAACACACCAGCUGCAGAAUGCUUGGACGAUGACCGGCGGCAAGAACUAAGUGCUGUUUCGCACGCUUCUUCCCGCCACGUUGAUAAAUGUCACGGGAGCAUAGAAAUGGACAAAUUUUGCUUUGCCAGUGCACCCACAGCUGCCAGUUCUACCACCCAGAACUACAAUUCGUGGAAAGCUUACAGGACGAAAAAUUAACAGUCAGAGGUUCAGCCAAUAAUGGCGAGAUCUCUGAGCUUUCAUGCGCGACUGGCCGUGUAGAGCUAACCAUAUUCCACCCUGAUCCACUCACGAGCCAGCAUUUUACCACGCAGAUCAGAUACUGGAUUCCACCCAACUCUCCCCCCCCACCCUUUCCUACCCUACAACAGUUGAAUAGGCGGCUGACCAUUUUGCCAUAUAUCUUCAGGAGUACGAUGCAUUAUGUCCCUUGUCCCUACCCCUUCCCAAGCAAAACAAACCCCCCCCCCAGCCUGUUAAAUAGAGUUGGAACUUCUACCAAAGGGAACGAGAUUUCCAACCAGAUAUUACUCGUCUCAUGGAAGUCACUGAAGAUGACGGUGUGUCCUGAGACCUGUCGAAAGAAACGACAUAGACGCAUCAGCGCUUCCUUAGGAUAGUGAUUAUAAGGAGAUUAAUGAUAAGGAGAACAACUCAUCCUGUGUUUCUGAGGCUUAGUGACUGUCAAUAUUGGCUGCUCCCUCGGGCUGCUAGGGAUAACUUGGUAAAAUCUUCGGUAGGAAUACCUUGAAAUAACAUUAUAUUCCUGGUGAAUAAUUGAACAUUACUCUGUACUGUAUUCCACGCCUCUGCGAUUUAGAUAGAACGACCAGGCUUGACAUUAGUAUGGGGAAGUGGUAUGUACUGUACUAAUGGGGCCGUAGGCCCAGUGGAAAGGAAAACAUUUUAACACCGAAGGUGAAAAGUAUUUGAACUGCCAUGGAAUAAUAAGGACGCAACUCAACCUGACAAAAAACUCCAACGCUACAAAUUAAUUCAGAGACUGGAUAGCGAAAAACAAAUAAACAAGCAAUAAACAAAUGAAUAUGAAUAUGGAAAUAAGAAAUAAAAAGGGUAUAAGGUAGCAUGGCAACUAAGUACGUGGGACAGAUGAACGUCAAUUGAAGAAAGAAAUGGGAUGAAAUUGACACAGCCAGAUAAAUAUGGACCAGAUAUCAAAAAGCCAAAGGGGAAUCAAAAAUUGGAAAUGAAC
rnacentral:sRNA from 1 species